GACGAACGCUGGCGGCGUGCUUAACACAUGCAAGUCGAACGGAAAGGCCCUGCUUUUGUGGGGUGCUCGAGUGGCGAACGGGUGAGUAACACGUGAGUAACCUGCCCUUGACUUUGGGAUAACUUCAGGAAACUGGGGCUAAUACCGGAUAGGAGCUCCUGCUGCAUGGUGGGGGUUGGAAAGUUUCGGCGGUUGGGGAUGGACUCGCGGCUUAUCAGCUUGUUGGUGGGGUAGUGGCUUACCAAGGCUUUGACGGGUAGCCGGCCUGAGAGGGUGACCGGCCACAUUGGGACUGAGAUACGGCCCAGACUCCUACGGGAGGCAGCAGUGGGGAAUAUUGCACAAUGGGCGGAAGCCUGAUGCAGCAACGCCGCGUGCGGGAUGACGGCCUUCGGGUUGUAAACCGCUUUCGCCUGUGACGAAGCGUGAGUGACGGUAAUGGGUAAAGAAGCACCGGCUAACUACGUGCCAGCAGCCGCGGUGAUACGUAAGGUGCGAGCGUUGUCCGGAUUUAUUGGGCGUAAAGGGCUCGUAGGUGGUUGAUCGCGUCGGAAGUGUAAUCUUGGGGCUUAACCCUGAGCGUGCUUUCGAUACGGGUUGACUUGAGGAAGGUAGGGGAGAAUGGAAUUCCUGGUGGAGCGGUGGAAUGCGCAGAUAUCAGGAGGAACACCAGUGGCGAAGGCGGUUCUCUGGGCCUUUCCUGACGCUGAGGAGCGAAAGCGUGGGGAGCGAACAGGCUUAGAUACCCUGGUAGUCCACGCUGUAAACGGUGGGUACUAGGUGUGGGGUCCAUUCCACGGGUUCCGUGCCGUAGCUAACGCUCUAAGUACCCCGCCUGGGGAGUACGGCCGCAAGGCUAAAACUCAAAGGAAUUGACGGGGCCCCGCACAAGCGGCGGAGCAUGCGGAUUAAUUCGAUGCAACGCGUAGAACCUUACCUGGGUUUGACAUGGAUCGGGAGUGCUCAGAGAUGGGUGUGCCUCUUUUGGGGUCGGUUCACAGGUGGUGCAUGGCUGUCGUCAGCUCGUGUCGUGAGAUGUUGGGUUAAGUCCCGCAACGAGCGCAACCCUUGUUCACUGUUGCCAGCACGUUAUGGUGGGGACUCAGUGGAGACCGCCGGGGUCAACUCGGAGGAAGGUGGGGAUGACGUCAAGUCAUCAUGCCCCUUAUGUCCAGGGCUUCACGCAUGCUACAAUGGCUGGUACAGAGAGUGGCGAGCCUGUGAGGGUGAGCGAAUCUCGGAAAGCCGGUCUCAGUUCGGAUUGGAGUCUGCAACUCGACCUCAUGAAGUCGGAGUCGCUAGUAAUCGCAGAUCAGCAACGCUGCGGUGAAUACGUUCCCGGGGCU
rnacentral:rRNA from 1 species